UUAUUGCUUUUUAAAUAGUUAGUUGGUUAAUUGUAAUGAUCUAUCAUUUCUUGUUCUCUACUUGCUGUUUUGGUCAAUGAUGUUCUUAUCUUGAUUGCCUCAAAAGGGUGCUGCUGGUUUAUAAAUAUACCAAUUGAUGGCUGAAAUAGGGAAGGCUUUGACAGGAUAUGUAGUUGGAGUGAUUGUUCUAGCUUUUGCAUUAUUCGCGUCUGCUGAGCGAAUAGCAAAUGAUGGAACAAGUGAUGAUUUUGAAUCAGGACUAUUUAAGCUUCUGCUUCACAAGGCUAAAAUGCAUUACCAACAUUUUUGGCCUGACUUGGAAUUUGGGUGGAGAGUAAUUGUUGGCUCUGACAUCGGAUAUUUUACUGUCGUCUUUGGGAGUUUUGGAGAUGAUAGGGGAAAUGGUAUCUUUGUUCCCAUGCUUAUUUUGAUCAUUGGAUUUGAUCCAAAAACAUGAACUGCAAUUUCAAUAUGUAUAAUAACAGGUAUAUCAGGGGAAGCUGUGUUGCUAUCCAAUACUUGACCAUCCCGUCACCGAUUCUGAUCUAGCACUUCUUUUAACACCAAUGCUGUUACUAGGGAUCAGUAUUGGUGUUGCUCUUAACGUUAUUUUUUGCUGAGUGGAUGAUUAUAGUUAUGUUGAUCAUUCUUAUCAUAGGUAAUGAUGAUUCAGCUGUGAUUCCUACCCAUAUUAUCGAUAUAGUUUUUCUGAUUGAUUUAAGGGACUUGUAGUUACAUCAACUAGGUCAUUCUUCAAGGGUGUUGAGGAAUGGAAAGAAAAAAACAGAAUGCAUAAGUAUUGGAACAUAGAACCAUAUGAAGAAUAAGAAGACGAAAAUGAACGUAAAACUGCAACAGAUGCUGGUGCUGAAGAUAUUAUGUACAAACUUCUACCUAGAGGUCCAAGAAUUAGAAAUGAAGAGGUGAUCACUUUCAUAUUUGUCGCUAUCAAUUUACUUGACUACCUAUAUGGUAAAUGUAUAAUUUUUCAUAAACAAGCAUUACCUCAAGUUAUUUUGAAGUUGAUGUGCCUUUCUCUAUUGUUGUGUGGGUCAUUUUCCUCGUUCUGCAUAUCGCUAAGGUUUAUUUCUUUAAAUUGCUUGUCUGUUUAUAAUACCUUUACAUUUUCAGGACCACCUUCUGCACUAUUAACUUUCUAACUAGAAGCUAUGUAACAUUUUUUUUGUACAGACAUAGACAUCAACUUGUUCAACGACAUAUUGGAUCUUAAACCUCUU